rnacentral:pre_miRNA from 1 species
ACUUAUUUUUAACCCCUAAUAAAUUAGCAAAUUUUGUGUUUGCUCCAUGAUAAAUAUUUCCCAUUUUUUAAUAGAAACUCAAAUAAAAUUUGUUAAUUUAUUAGGAAGCAAACACAAAAUUUUCUAAUUUAUUAGGGACUAAAACAAAAU